UAAGGAAUAUUGGUCAAUGGACGCAAGUCUGAACCAGCCAUGCCGCGUGGAGGAUUAAGGCCCUCUGGGUUGUAAACUCCUUUUAUCUGGGAAGAAAUGUACUUUUUCUUGAGUACUCGACGGUACCAGAGGAAUAAGCACCGGCUAACUCCGUGCCAGCAGCCGCGGUAAUACGGAGGGUGCAAGCGUUAUCCGGAUUCACUGGGUUUAAAGGGUGCGUAGGUGGGCAGGUAAGUCAGUGGUGAAAUCUCCGGGCUUAACCCGGAAACUGCCGUUGAUACUAUUUGUCUUCAAUAUUGUGGAGGUAAGCGGAAUAUGUCAUGUAGCGGUGAAAUGCUUAGAUAUGACAUAGAACACCAAUUGCGAAGGCAGCUUACUACACAAUCAUUGACGCUGAGGCACGAAAGCGUGGGGACCAAACA
rnacentral:rRNA from 1 species